rfam:Halomonas ilicicola DSM 19980 genome assembly, contig: EJ56DRAFT_scaffold00001.1
GCCCCCAUAGCUCAGCUGGAUAGAGCGUCCCCCUCCUAAGGGGAAGGUCUCAGGUUCGAAUCCUGAUGGGGGCG